rnacentral:rRNA from 1 species
UACGCAGGGGGCUAGCGUUGUUCGGAAUUACUGGGCGUAAAGCGCGUGUAGGCGGUUCUUUAAGUCAGGGGUGAAAUGCCAAGGCUCAACCUUGGAACUGCCUUUGAUACUGGGGAUCUUGAGUCCGGGAGAGGUGAGUGGAACUGCGAGUGUAGAGGUGAAAUUCGUAGAUAUUCGCAAGAACACCAGUGGCGAAGGCGGCUCACUGGCCCGGAACUGACGCUGAGACGCGAAAGCGUGGGGAGCAAACAGG